GGGUCAGUAGGUUGGUCGUGCCACCGGUACGUACUGGUCUCACUGAUUCCUCCUUCCUGAAGAACCGUAAUGCCAUUAAUUUGGUGUUGCGGGGAAACAGGACUGUUACUUUGAAAAAAUUAGAGUGUUUAAAGCAAGCUAACGCUUUAAUACAUAGCAUGGAAUAAUGAAAUAGGACGAUCGAUCCUAUUUUGUUGGUUUCUAGGAUUGACGUA
rnacentral:rRNA from 1 species